rnacentral:rRNA from 1 species
UACGUAGGGUGCAAGCGUUAAUCGGAAUUACUGGGCGUAAAGCGUGCGCAGGCGGUGUUGUAAGACAGUUGUGAAAUCCCCGGGCUCAACCUGGGAACUGCAUCUGUGACUGCAUUGCUGGAGUGCGGCAGAGGGGGAUGGAAUUCCGCGUGUAGCAGUGAAAUGCGUAGAUAUGCGGAGGAACACCGAUGGCGAAGGCAAUCCCCUGGGCCUGCACUGACGCUCAUGCACGAAAGCGUGGGGAGCAAACAGG